UACGGGGGGGGCAAGCGUUGUUCGGAAUUACUGGGCGUAAAGGGCUCGUAGGCGGCCAACUAAGUCAUACGUGAAAUCCCUCGGCUUAACCGGGGAACUGCGUCUGAUACUGGAUGGCUUGAGAUUGGGAGAGGGAUGCGGAAUUCCAGGUGUAGCGGUGAAAUGCGUAGAUAUCUGGAGGAACACCGGUGGCGAAGGCGGCUUCCUGGACCAAUAUUGACGCUGAGGAGCGAAAGCUAGGGGAGCAAACGGG
rnacentral:rRNA from 1 species